rnacentral:rRNA from 1 species
GACGAACGCUGGCGGCGCGCUUAACACAUGCAAGUCGAACGGUGAACCGGGCUUCGGCCCGGGGAUCAGUGGCGAACGGGUGCGUAACACGUGGGCAACCUGCCCCUCCCUCUGGGAUAACCCCGGGAAACCGGAGCUAAUACCGGAUACUCCGGCUGGAUCGCAUGGUCCGGUCGGGAAAGGUCCGCCGGUGAGGGAUGGGCCCGCGGCCUAUCAGCUUGUUGGUUAGGUCACGGCUCACCACGGCGACGACGGGUAGCUGGUCUGGGAGGGCGACCAGCCACACUGGGACUGGGAUACCGCCCAGGCUCCUACGGGAGGCAGCAGUGGGGAAUCUUGCGCAAUGGGCGAAAGCCUGACGCAGCGACGCCGCGUGGGGGACGAAGGCCCUCGGGUUGUAAACCCCUUUCGGCAGGGACGAAGCGAUCGUGACGGUACCUGCAGAAGAAGCCUCGGCUAACUACGUGCCAGCAGCCGCGGUAACAC